CAUAUCAAUAAGCGGAGGAAAAGAAACCAACUGGGAUUGCCUUAGUAACGGCGAGUGAAGCGGCAAAAGCUCAAAUUUGAAAUCUGGUACCUUUGGUGCCCGAGUUGUAAUUUGGAGAGUACCACUUUGGGACUGUACUUUGCCUAUGUUCCUUGGAACAGGACGUCAUGGAGGGUGAGAAUCCCGUGUGGCGAGGGUGUCAGUUCUUUGUAAAGGGUGCUCGAAGAGUCGAGUUGUUUGGGAAUGCAGCUCUAAGUGGGUGGUAAAUUCCAUCUAAAGCUAAAUACAGGCGAGAGACCGAUAGCGAACAAGUACAGUGAUGGAAAGAUGAAAAGAACUUUGAAAAGAGAGUGAAAAAGUACGUGAAAUUGUUGAAAGGGAAGGGCAUUUGAUCAGACAUGGUGUUUUGCGCCCCUUGCCUCUCGUGGGCUUGGGACUCUCGCAGCUCACUGGGCCAGCAUCGGUUUUGGCGGCCGGAAAAAACCUAGGGAAUGUGGCUCUGCGCCUCGGUGUAGAGUGUUAUAGCCCUGGGGAAUACGGCCAGUCGGGACCGAGGACUGCGAUACUUGUUAUCUAGGAUGCUGGCAUAAUGGUUAUAUGC
rnacentral:rRNA from 1 species